rnacentral:rRNA from 1 species
CAAUAGCGUAUAUUAAAGUUGUUGCAGUUAAAAAGCUCGUAGUUGGAUUUCGGGGCAGCCUGGCUGGUCCGCCGCAAGGCGAGUACUGGUCAGCCGCCCUUCCUCUCGAAAGCCCCGACUGCUCUUCGUUGCAGUGGUCGGGUAGUUCGGGACGUUUACUUUGAAAAAAUUAGAGUGUUCAAGGCAGGCCUACGCCUGAAUACAUUAGCAUGGAAUAAUGGAAGAGGGCCUCGGUCCUAUUUUGUUGGUUUCCAGGGCCGAAGUAAUGAUUAAGAGGGACAGUUGGGGGCAUUCGUAUUUAAUUGUCAGAGGUGAAAUUCUCGGAUUUAUGAAAGACGAACAACUGCGAAAGCAUUUGCCAAGGAUGUUUUCAUUAA